AUUGAACGCUGGCGGAAUGCUUUACACAUGCAAGUCGAACGGUAGAGGGGGCAACCCCUUGAGAGUGGCGAACGGGUGAGUAAUAUAUCGGAACGUGCCCAGUCGUGGGGAUAACGUAGCGAAAGUUACGCUAAUACCGCAUACGAUCUAAGGAUGAAAGCGGGGGAUCGCAAGACCUCGCGCGAUUGGAGCGGCCGAUAUCAGAUUAGGUAGUUGGUGAGGUAAAGGCUCACCAAGCCAACGAUCUGUAGCUGGUCUGAGAGGACGACCAGCCACACUGGAACUGAGACACGGUCCAGACUCCUACGGGAGGCAGCAGUGGGGAAUUUUGGACAAUGGACGCAAGUCUGAUCCAGCCAUUCCGCGUGCAGGAUGAAGGCCCUCGGGUUGUAAACUGCUUUUGUACGGAACGAAAAGGUUUGUCUUAAUACAGUUUGCUAAUGACGGUACCGUAAGAAUAAGCACCGGCUAACUACGUGCCAGCAGCCGC
rnacentral:rRNA from 1 species